UAGGGAAUCUUCGGCAAUGGACGAAAGUCUGACCGAGCAACGCCGCGUGAGUGAAGAAGGUUUUCGGAUCGUAAAACUCUGUUGUUAGAGAAGAACAAGGACGUUAGUAACUGAACGUCCCCUGACGGUAUCUAACCAGAAAGCCACGGCUAACUACGUGCCAGCAGCCGCGGUAAUACGUAGGUGGCAAGCGUUGUCCGGAUUUAUUGGGCGUAAAGCGAGCGCAGGCGGUUUCUUAAGUCUGAUGUGAAAGCCCCCGGCUCAACCGGGGAGGGUCAUUGGAAACUGGGAGACUUGAGUGCAGAAGAGGAGGGUGGAAUUCCAUGUGUAGCGGUGAAAUGCGUAGAUAUAUGGAGGAACACCAGUGGCGAAGGCGGCUCUCUGGUCUGUAACUGACGCUGAGGCUCGACAGCGUGGGGAGCAAACAGG
rnacentral:rRNA from 1 species